AACAUCGCGCACCUGCGGGAACCUGCGGAGGGAUCAUUAAUGAUUGGUGGCUGUUGCUGACUAGUGUUUCUAGUAUGUGCACGCCACACCUUCAAUCCCACUUACACCUGUGCACCUUCUGUAGUAGAUCUAUGUGGAUACGGAGAUAUGAAAGUUUGCGCUCUCGUACUCUGUUGAAGCAGUCUACUACGUUUUUUUACACACACACAAUAGUCAUUGAAUGUAUUUUUUAUUCUUAUG
rnacentral:misc_RNA from 1 species